CCACCCUGCAGGCCAAGCUGUCUUGUCAGCGUGAAGCACAUGAGGCUCUGGUGCAUCCUGGGAGUUCAGCAUCAAUGACAUAGGGUCCGCCUACUUGAUGUGAUGACUGGGAAGUGGUCGGCCAUUGGCCCUGGAGCCAGCGGGGUCAGGGAGGAGUGGGAGAACAACCAGCAGCUGACAGAGUAUUUGAGGAAGAUCUCCAGGGGAGACUGCAGUCACUGGCUUCGGGAAUUCCUACCACACUGGGAGGAUAUGCUGGAGCCCUCAGCAACACCCACCACAGCACCUGUCACUGUCACUUCCGAGGCCACAACUAUGAGCCACAUGCCCUGGCUGUUCCCUGUGAUCCUCCUCCCCUGCAUGUUCCCACCUGGAAUCAUGGGUUUACACUGAAGGAACUGCUCCACCUUCUUCAACUUCUACUCUCUUGACCAUUCUCUACAAUUCCCCCGUGGUCUUCUUCUUGCCAUUAGCUAUUUUAGUGACGUUGGCACAUAUUUGCUAGGGGCGGUCUCUUCCACCAAAAAGAAGUGAGGUCACCACCUAGUGACACAGAGGAAGUGAACUCUGUUUCAGAAGAGGAAACUCCCCUGCAGAAGAUGGAAAUCCACCAAAGCAAGGAUGAGGAGG